GCACUGGUGGGUCAGUGGUAGAAUUCUCACCUUCAUAUGAGAGACUCAAGUUCGAUUCCUGGCCACUGCU
rnacentral:tRNA from 1 species